rnacentral:rRNA from 1 species
GACGGAGGAUGCAAGCGUUAUCCGGAAUGAUUGGGCGUAAAGCGUCCGCAGGUGGCAGUUCAAGUCUGCUGUCAAAGACCGGGGCUUAACUUCGGAAAGGCAGUGGAAACUGAACAGCUAGAGUAUGGUAGGGGCAGAGGGAAUUCCUGGUGUAGCGGUGAAAUGCGUAGAUAUCAGGAAGAACAUCGGUGGCGAAGGCGCUCUGCUGGACCAUAACUGACACUCAGGGACGAAAGCUAGGGGAGCGAACGGG